rnacentral:rRNA from 1 species
UACGAAGGGGGCUAGCGUUGUUCGGAUUUACUGGGCGUAAAGCGCACGUAGGCGGUUCGUUAAGUCGGGGGUGAAAUCCUGGGGCUCAACCCCAGAACUGCCUUCGAUACUGGCGAUCUCGAGUCCGGAAGAGGUGAGUGGAACUCCUAGUGUAGAGGUGGAAUUCGUAGAUAUUAGGAAGAACACCAGUGGCGAAGGCGGCUCACUGGUCCGGUACUGACGCUGAGGUGCGAAAGCGUGGGGAGCAAACAGG